UAUUUUAUUUUACUUUGCUGACUGUAAUGUAUGUUGUGAACAGCUAGAUAAUGACAUAGACCUAAAUGCAACACGUUUGGGGGACCCCGUUGGAAAUUUCCCAAAGAAUCUACGUCCUUUUGCAACCCUGGGAAAUGCAAGGAGAAAGGUAGAAGAAAACUGUGAAGAGAAGCAAAAUAUAAGGUACCGACGACCAUGUGGUGAAGGGGGAGGGAGGAAAGGAUGGUUACAACUCAUCUAUCUUAAAUGUCUAGUAAAGCUGUAUUGCUGUAUCAGAAGCAGAGAUUCCAUCAUACAAGCAGUUGCCUCAGUUAACUAUUAUUUUCUUAACUUUUAGGAAACAAAUAAAAGCAGCAUUUGUUCUACCAGAAGCAGUUGUUAUAUUAUUUAAGAGCUGGAAUUAUUUGUUUGGUGGUGCCAGGUUUUUCGGCUUGGCUCUCGCUCAGGUGGGGAAGAUCAGCUUUGACAAACAGUGUGCACCUGGGCCAGGUGUGGGCUGUUUGCUGGCUGGCCCAGGCUUUGGCUGCAGCUGGGGGAAAUCAGCCCCGCCAAGCUACCCACAGGGCUCCAGCUCCCCAGUUUUGGGGUGUGGGUGCUAGGUGUAUGUGCACCUUGGGAGAAGGGGGCUGCUUUGCAAAGACUUGUUUUGGAGGGGAGCAGUGAGUGCAGCAACGUGGCCUCUCCAAGCUCAUGAGGUGGCAACUGCCUCUCUGUUUACCAGUCACCUGCUGCUCUACAGGUGGCCAGGAAUGUUUCGAAAGGAACAUUUCUACAGGAUUGGAGUGAAGUGGUUUCUGAGGACUUUGGACCUGGGCUCUGGUUGAAGACUGUGCCACGACUGGGAUACAGGCAACUGUGGGGCUGCUGGUGGUGCAGAGAAAGAGAAUGCAGCGUGGAGGCAGCGGUCAGUGUGAUUUGUUUUCUCAGCGAUGCAAAUCACAUCAGAGAUGUCCAUAAGACUAUUUACUGCUUUCAGCUCAGAUUGGAAGGGCAGCAGGUGACUGGGAUGUUUCCUGUUGAUCACAAGGAGCUGGUGUCAGGCCCUGCAUGACCUACCCACGACACCAGAUGGACCAGAGCUGUACAAAAUGGAUUCCUGGUCUCGUUCGUCCCCUUCGCCCUCAGGGUAAUGGCAUGGUUGGUUUCUAACCCAAAAGUCCUACUCUGCAGCCUGCUCUCAACAUACCUGGAAGCCCAGCUUCUUUUAGCUGCUGGGUGCUGGAGGUAGAUUUAU